rnacentral:rRNA from 1 species
CCUACGGGAGGCAGCAGUGGGGAAUAUUGCACAAUGGGGGCAACCCUGAUGUAGCGACGCCGCGUGGGUGAGGAAGUACUUCGGUAUGUAAAGCCCUAUCAGCAGGGGAGAAAAUGACGGUACCUGACUAAGAAGCCCCGGCUAACUACGUGCCAGCAGCCGCGGUAAUACGUAGGGGGCAAGCGUUAUCCGGAUUUACUGGGUGUAAAGGGAGCGUAGACGGCGUGCCAAGUCUGGUGUGAAAGUCGGGGGCUCAACCCCGGGACUGCAUUGGAAACUGGCAUGCUUGAGUGCCGGAGGGGCAAGCGGAAUUCGUGGUGUAGCGGUGAAAUGCGUAGAUAUUAGGAGGAACACCGGUGGCGAAGGCGGCAUGCCGGAUGGUAACUGACGUUGAGGCUCGAAAGCGUGGGGAGCAAACAGGAUUAGAUACCCCUGUAGUC